UACGUAGGGUGCAAGCGUUAAUCGGAAUUACUGGGCGUAAAGCGUGCGCAGGCGGUUUUGUAAGUUUGUCGUGAAAUCCCCCGGGCUCAACCUGGGAAUGGCGAUGAAGACUGCAAGGCUAGAGUUUGGCAGAGGGGGGUAGAAUUCCACGUGUAGCAGUGAAAUGCGUAGAGAUGUGGAGGAACACCGAUGGCGAAGGCAGCCCCCCUGGGUCAAAACUGACGCUCAUGCACGAAAGCGUGGGGAGCAAACAGG
rnacentral:rRNA from 1 species